UACGUAGGGUGCAAGCGUUGUCCGGAAUUAUUGGGCGUAAAGAGCUCGUAGGCGGUCUGUCGCGUCUGCUGUGAAAACUCAGGGCUUAACCCUGAGCUUGCAGUGGGUACGGGCAGACUAGAGUGCGGUAGGGGAGACUGGAAUUCCGUGGUGUAGCGGUGAAAUGCGCAGAUAGUCAGGAGGAACACCGGUGGCGAAGGCGGAUCUCUGGGCCGAUACUGACGCUGGAGGAGCGAAAGCCGUGGGGAGCGAACAGG
rnacentral:rRNA from 1 species